GCAAACCACCACACCGGCCUGUAUCACAGAUCUUACUGAAAAUCCUGUGUAUCCCGGUGUUGUCAGGAGGAAACAGACAGAAAGAUAAAGAGAAUUUGGAUGGAAGGUUGUUGUCAAGCCUGGGAACACAGGUGCAGCAGUGCCAAUGGAUGCCCCGUAGCAGCGGACUACAGCCAAAUCUAAUCAUGUUCUCAUCAGGUAUUUUUUGGCGGCUGUUCAAGAACAUUUCCGACUUGUCGUUCCGGUGCAGGCUGCGGGGGAACUUGUUCCAACAACACACAUCAGCCGCACUUUAUCUUCAUCUGAUGCUGCCUGAAGCUUUGCUGUCCUGCAAUGUGCUGUGAUAGCUGGGGAUGUGCCACAUAAAUCUGCUGCUGCUGUUGUUGUUAGGGUUGCCUCUUGUCCUGCAAAAGUAAUACCUUUAUCUUUUAUAUAUUUUACCUAUAAAUAACAUUGGCAUCAAGUGCUGUUUUUACUGGCUGUGCUUUUGCUGUAGUGCCUCUUUAUUUAGAUGUAAAGCAACACACGUCAUACAGAAGAAUACUGCUGUGUGCAGGGCCACCAUUAAGAAAUCACGGGACCCCGUACACCAACAUUUUUCUGGGCCCCCUGGUCCCCGCCAACCCCAGCCCCA